CCGUACGAUAGGUCGGCAUCGUUUAGUACGAAUUUCCCUCUCGCGCGGAUUGGUUGAUUGCGUGAUUACUUCCAACUUGGUCCGUUCUAUUUAAAUAAUUUAUGAUCAAAAUAAAUUGCACAACAUAAGACAGCGACAACUGAAAGAGGUAGAAUCGUUUCCGUUUCGUUCUCAACGUGUGUAACAGUGCAAAGCAGAGGAAUUCGCAGUUCGCUGGUGAGUGAAUUUCGUGAGUGAAAUUCACUAUAAAUUUCAACGAGGGAACAAGUUAACAAAAAGGAAAAAGAAAAAGCAUAAAAAACAGGCAAACAUGUGUCAAGAUCGAGUAAUUAAGCUGCUGAUAUUUGGCUUUAUCGCCGGCUUGCUGCUGCAGGAAUCUCGAGGUGAGUGACAUUACAACACUUAGUAAACUGACCAUUCUUUCAAGCUACCAGGUAAGCAUUUCAAGCAGAUACACAGAAACAACCUGUUUUAAUCCACCUAGUGGUGUAAUGAUG